rnacentral:rRNA from 1 species
AUUGAACGCUGGCGGCAUGCUUUACACAUGCAAGUCGAACGGUAACAGGGUGCUUGCACCGCUGACGAGUGGCGAACGGGUGAGUAAUGCGUCGGAACGUGCCGAGUAGUGGGGGAUAACGCAGCGAAAGUUGUGCUAAUACCGCAAACGUACUGAGGUAGAAAGUGGGGGACCUUCGGGCCUCACGCUAUUCGAGCGGCCGACGUCUGAUUAGCUAGUAGGUGAGGUAAAGGCUCACCUAGGCGACGAUCAGUAGCGGGUCUGAGAGGAUGAUCCGCCACACUGGGACUGAGACACGGCCCAGACUCCUACGGGAGGCAGCAGUGGGGAAUUUUGGACAAUGGGCGAAAGCCUGAUCCAGCCAUGCCGCGUGUCUGAAGAAGGCCUUCGGGUUGUAAAGGACUUUUGUCGGGGAGGAAAUCCCCAGCGUUAACACCGCUGGGGGAUGACAGUACCUGAAGAAUAAGCACCGGCUAACUACGUGCCAGCCGCCGCAGUAAGAC